rnacentral:rRNA from 1 species
AAACAUGCAGUCGAGCGGAACGAGUUAUCUGAACCUUCGGGGGACGAUAACGGCGUCGAGCGGCGGACGGGUGAGUAAUGCCUAGGAAAUUGCCCUGAUGUGGGGGAUAACCAUUGGAAACGAUGGCUAAUACCGCAUAAUGCCUACGGGCCAAAGAGGGGGACCUUCGGGCCUCUCGCGUCAGGAUAUGCCUAGGUGGGAUUAGCUAGUUGGUGAGGUAAUGGCUCACCAAGGCGACGAUCCCUAGCUGGUCUGAGAGGAUGAUCAGCCACACUGGAACUGAGACACGGUCCAGACUCCUACGGGAGGCAGCAGUGGGGAAUAUUGCACAAUGGGCGCAAGCCUGAUGCAGCCAUGCCGCGUGUGUGAAGAAGGCCUUCGGGUUGUAAAGCACUUUCAGUCGUGAGGAAGGUGGUAUUGUUAAUAGCACUAUCAUUUGACGUUAGCGACAGAAGAAGCACCGGCUAACUCCGUGCCAGCAGCCGCGGUAAUACGGAGGGUGCGAGCGUUAAUCGGAAUUACUGGGCGUAAAGCGCAUGCAGGUGGUUUGUUAAGUCAGAUGUGAAAGCCCGGGGCUCAACCUCGGAAUAGCAUUUGAAACUGGCAGACUAGAGUACUGUAGAGGGGGGUAGAAUUUCAGGUGUAGCGGUGAAAUGCGUAGAGAUCUGAAGGAAUACCGGUGGCGAAGGCGGCCCCCUGGACAGAUACUGACACUCAGAUGCGAAAGCGUGGGGAGCAAACAGGAUUAGAUACCCUGGUAGUCCACGCCGUACACGAUGUCUACUUGGAGGUUGUGGCCUUGAGCCGUGGCUUUCGGAGCUAACGCGUUAAGUAGACCGCCUGGGGAGUACGGUCGCAAGAUUAAAACUCAUAUGAAUUGACGGGGGCCCGCACAAGCGGUGGAGCAUGUGGUUUAAUUCGAUGCAACGCGAGAACCUUACCUACUCUUGACAUCCAGAGAACUUUCCAGAGAUGGAUUGUG